UACGGGGGGGGCAAGCGUUGUUCGGAAUUACUGGGCGUAAAGGGUUCGUAGGUGGCUGGCUAAGUCAGACGUGAAAUCCCUCAGCUCAACUGGGGAACUGCGUCUGAGACUGGUCAGCUUGAGUGCAGGAGAGGAACGCGGAAUUCCAGGUGUAGCGGUGAAAUGCGUAGAUAUCUGGAGGAACACCGGUGGUGUAGACGGCUCUCUGGACCAUAACUGACGCUGAGACACGAAAGCGUGGGUAGCAAACAGG
rnacentral:rRNA from 1 species